rnacentral:lncRNA from 1 species
GGAGCAAGAAGGAGAAAGAAACCCUCCUCAUCUUCACAAAAAUUGAACAAUUGAAGCCCUAAUCAUGGCCAAAACUCUUGCAUGUUAAUGAAUUCUUGAUCAUCUAGUCCUACUAAAGCAUAAGGAUGAAGGUUGAAUAAAGGAAGAAAGCUCAAGCCAAUCCGGGUCACAAACGAAGAACGAAAAAGGUAAAGCAACUUGAUGGAUGGCGCUACUUGGAUCGAACACACUCAUGAUGCACGCUUCCGCGAAGAUACUAGUUAUGGUUUAAACUUUUGUUAAAACGGGUCUU